CGCUUUAUUAAAGGGGCGGGGAGAGUGACGUCAUCGCGGGGAGGUGACGUCACGGGGAGGGGCUGGGGCUCCCAGUACAAACCAGUCUAAACCAGUAUGGACCAGUAUGGACCAGUAUGGACCAGUAAUGGCUUCCAUUGCUCCCAGUCCCCUCCCAGUAUAAACCAGUGCUCCCAGUAUGAACCAGUAACCGCUCCCAGUGCUCCCAGUAUAAACCAGUAUGAACCAGUAUGGCUCCCAGUACAAACCAGUAUGGACCAGUAUGGCUCCCAGUGCUCCCAGUAUGACCCAAACCCCCUCCCAGUACAAACCAGUGCUCCCAGUAUGACCCGAAAUGGCUCCCAGUGCUCCCAGUAUGAACCAGUAUGGCUCCCAGUAUUCCCAGUAUGGCUCCCAGUGCUCCCAGUAUGGACCAGUAUGGCUCCCAGUAUGAACCAGUAUGAACUAGUAUGGAUCCCAGUAUUCCCAGUAUGGCUCCCAGUAUGACCCAGUAUGGCUCCCAGUGCUCCCAGUACAAACCAGUAUGGCUCCCAGUGCUCCCAGUAUGACCCAAAACCCCUCCCAGUAAAAACCAGUAUGACCCGAAAUGGCUCCCAGUACAAACCAGUGCUCCCAGUACGACCCAAACCCCCUCCCAGUACAAACCAGUGCUCCCAGUACAAACCAGUGCUCCCAGUACAAACCAG
rnacentral:lncRNA from 1 species